UGGCGAACGGGUGAGUAACACGUGGGUGAUCUGCCCUGCACUUCGGGAUAAGCUUGGGAAACUGGGGCUGAUACCGGAUAGGAGCUCCUGCUGCAUGGUGGGGGUUGGAAAGUUUCGGCGGUUGGGGAUGGACUCGCGGCUUAUCAGCUUGUUGGUGGGGUAGUGGCUUACCAAGGCUUUGACGGGUAGCCGGCCUGAGAGGGUGACCGGCCACAUUGGGACUGAGAUACGGCCCAG
rnacentral:rRNA from 1 species